CUUUCGGUUCCAGUUACAGUAGCGGUAGCCGUUAUUCAGUCUAGUUCUUACUUUCUUUCAGUUUAUUGCUACUGUAUUUAGUAUAUCUGCUCAUUACCUUAUACAUCUCUUUUGUUUACUAUUGUUCCUAUUGUAUUUCCACUGACCCGUGCUGUUGUGUAGCUCUUCCUGAUCCGGUGAGUACUCCUCGCCUUCUUCGGCUUGCGGUACCCACUGGGAGGGGAGACAUGUUUACAUGUUCUCACCUCCCCCACCAUUUUCAGGUAUCGCGGGCGGUGAAUAGUGGGACGAGACGUGAGGUACGUGUAUAGCGGUCGAUAGAGCUUCCGAUCCAGGUUAUUUCGAUUUAGUUAUUACCCUUAUUAUUUCUGUUGAUUUAUAGCUUAGUCGGUUUACAUGGUUCAGUUUUGUGUUAUUGUCUGAAUAUCUGAGUUUUCAGUUGGUUUUGGAAUGUAAUAAAGGAUUUGUGUUUUCUUGAAAUAAAAAUAGUUUUUUACCCCUCGUGAUAGCGUUUUAAAAAGAUAAAAGUUCCCGUGUAGGGAACAGUUUUCAAAGGAUUUUCUGUGAUUUUGUAUCUUAGUAUUUCAAAACUUGUUUCUGUGGUUGAAAACAUUUUAACUAAUAGAUGUGGAUUUAUGUUUAAAUAUUGAAUAUAAAAAUGUGAACCUGUGGUGAAUGGUGUAUGAAUAUAUAACUGUGGUUAUUUGUAUGUUCAUCUGGUUGUGGUUGUAUCAUGUUUGAACUCUUGUACUUGUGCGACGCCGUGCAAAUACAGGGGAGACUCUGUCCGUGUGAACAGUGGAUCUCCUGUAUUUGUGGCGGAUCUGGCAUACCCUGGGGUCAGGUUUUCAAAAAAAAAAAAAAAAUUU
rnacentral:lncRNA from 1 species